rnacentral:rRNA from 1 species
GACGAACGCUGGCGGCGUGCUUAACACAUGCAAGUCGAACGCUGAAGCUUGGUGCUUGCACUGGGUGGAUGAGUGGCGAACGGGUGAGUAAUACGUGAGUAACCUGCCCUUGACUCUGGGAUAAGCCUGGGAAACUGGGUCUAAUACUGGAUACGACAUGUCACUGCAUGGUGGUGUGUGGAAAGGGUUUUACUGGUUUUGGAUGGGCUCACGGCCUAUCAGCUUGUUGGUGGGGUAAUGGCUCACCAAGGCGACGACGGGUAGCCGGCCUGAGAGGGUGACCGGCCACACUGGGACUGAGACACGGCCCAGACUCCUACGGGAGGCAGCAGUGGGGAAUAUUGCACAAUGGGCGGAAGCCUGAUGCAGCGACGCCGCGUGAGGGAUGACGGCCUUCGGGUUGUAAACCUCUUUCAGCACGGAAGAAGCGAAAGUGCCGGUACGUGCAGAAGAAGCGCCGGCUAACUACGUG